rnacentral:rRNA from 1 species
AUUGAACGCUGGCGGCAGGCCUAACACAUGCAAGUCGAGCGAGCGGCGGACGGGUGAGUAAUGUAUGGGAAACUGCCUGAUGGAGGGGGAUAACUACUGGAAACGGUAGCUAAUACCGCAUACCAUCAGAUGUGCCGAGAUGGGCUUAGCUAGUAGGUGGGGUAACGGGUCAACUAGGCGACGAUCCCUAGCUGGGCUGAGAGGGUGACCAGCCGUGGUGGGACAGAGACAGGGUCCAACCUCGUACGGGAGGCAGCAGGGGGGAAUAGUGGGGAAUGGGGGGAACCGUGAUCCAGCCUGGUGGCGUGUGGGAGGAAGGGCUUAUGGUGGUAUAGCAUUGUAAGCGAGUAGGCGGUAGGUGCAGAAUAAGCACCGGCUAACUCUGUGCCAGCAGCCGCGGUAAUAC